AUUAAUGCUGACGGCGUGCCUAAUCUAUGCAAGUCUUUGUUUUGUAGCAAUACAAGACAAGGCAGACGAGUGAGUAACACGUAGGAACCAACCUUUAAGUUGGGCAUAACCUCGAGAAAUCGGGGAUAAUACCCAAUAGUCUCGCAAGAGUAAAGCUUCGGCGCUUAAAGACGGGCCUGCGUCCUAUCAGCUAGUUGGUAAGGUAAUUGCUUACCAAGGCGAUGACGGGUAGGGGGCGUUAGAGCGUGUACCCCCACGAUGGCACUGAGAUACGGGCCAUACACCUACGGGUGGCAGCAAGUAGGAAUCUUGCGCAAUGCUCGCCAUAGGCGAGUGACGCAGCGACGCCGUGUGCAGGAAGAAGAUUUUCGGAUUGUAAACUGACGUUAAAAAGGAGCGGCUAACUUCGU
rnacentral:rRNA from 1 species